rnacentral:rRNA from 1 species
UACGUAGGGGGCUAGCGUUGCUCGGAUUGACUGGGCGUAAAGGGCGCGUAGGCGGUUUGUACAGUCAGACGUGAAAUUCCUGGGCUCAACCUGGGGGCUGCGUUUGAUACGUGCGAGCUUGAGUUCGGAAGAGGGUCGUGGAAUUCCCAGUGUAGAGGUGAAAUUCGUAGAUAUUGGGAAGAACACCGGUGGCGAAGGCGGCGACCUGGUCCGAUACUGACGCUGAGGCGCGAAAGCGUGGGGAGCAAACAGG